rnacentral:rRNA from 1 species
AGAGUUUGAUCAUGGCUCAGGACGAACGCUGGCGGCGUGCUUAAUACAUGCAAGUCGAGCGAGGUUACUGUUUUGGAUCCCUUUGGGGUGAAGAAGCUUUAACCUAGCGGCGGACGGGUGAGUAACGCGUGGGUAACCUACCCCAAAGUCCGGGAUAACAGCGGGAAACCGCUGCUAAUACCGGAUGCCUUUACCUUGGGGCAUCUUGAGGUAAAGAAAGGUAACGCUUUGGGAUGGGCCCGCGUCCCAUUAGCUAGUUGGUGAGGUAACGGCUCACCAAGGCGACGAUGGGUAGCCGGCCUGAGAGGGUGGACGGCCACACUGGGACUGAGACACGGCCCAGACUCCUACGGGAGGCAGCAGUAGGGAAUAUUGCGCAAUGGACGGAAGUCUGACGCAGCGACGCCGCGUGAGCGAUGAAGGUCUUCGGAUCGUAAAGCUCUGUCCUUGGGGAAGAAGGCGAAAGCUUGACGGUACCCAAGAAGAAAGCCCCGGCUAACUACGUGCCAGCAGCCGCGGUAAUACGUAGGGGGCGAGCGUUGUCCGGAAUUACUGGGCGUAAAGGGUGCGUAGGCGGCCCUUUAAGUCGGAUGUGAAAGCCCGCGGCUUAACCGCGGAAUGGCAUUCGAAACUGGAGGGCUUGAGUGUCGGAGAGGGUAGUGGAAUUCCCAGUGUAGCGGUGAAAUGCGUAGAUAUUGGGAGGAACACCAGUGGCGAAGGCGACUACCUGGACGAUAACUGACGCUGAGGCACGAAAGCUAGGGGAGCAAACAGGAUUAGAUACCCUGNUAGUCCUAGCCGUAAACGAUGGGUACUAGGUGUGGGUGGUUUCGAUACCAUCCGUGCCGUANUUAACGCAUUAAGUACCCCGCCNGGGGAGUACGUGCGCAAGCAUGAAACUCAAAGGAAUUGACGG